GACGAACGCUGGCGGCGUGCUUAACACAUGCAAGUCGAACGAAGAGCGAUGGAAGCUUGCUUCUAUCAAUCUUAGUGGCGAACGGGUGAGUAACGCGUAAUCAACCUGCCCUUCAGAGGGGGACAACAGUUGGAAACGACUGCUAAUACCGCAUACGAUCUGACCUCGGCAUCGAGGAUAGAUGAAAGGUGGCCUCUACAUGAAAGCUAUCACUGAAGGAGGGGAUUGCGUCUGAUUAGCUAGUUGGAGGGGUAACGGCCCACCAAGGCGAUGAUCAGUAGCCGGUCUGAGAGGAUGAACGGCCACAUUGGGACUGAGACACGGCCCAGACUCCUACGGGAGGCAGCAGUGGGGAAUCUUCCGCAAUGGACGAAAGUCUGACGGAGCAACGCCGCGUGAGUGAUGACGGCCUUCGGGUUGUAAAGCUCUGUUAAUCGGGACGAAAGGCCUUUUUGCGAAUAGUGAGAAGGAUUGACGGUACCGGAAUAGAAAGCCACGGCUAACUACGUG
rnacentral:rRNA from 1 species